rnacentral:rRNA from 1 species
UACUAGCGGUCCAAGUCGCAGCCAUUUUUAUUGGGUCUAAAACAUCCGUAGCUUGUUUAAUAAGUCUCUUGUGAAAUUCUGUAUCUUAAGUAUAGAGCGUGCAAGAGGUACUGUUAAAAUAGAGACUGGAAGACGUAAGAAGUAUGUUCAUAGUAACGGUAAAAUGUGUUAAUCAUGAACAGACUAACAAUAGCGAAGGCAUCUUACGAGUACAGUUCUGACAGUAAGGGAUGAAGGCUAGGGGCGCAAAACGGAUUAGAUACCCGCGUA